rnacentral:rRNA from 1 species
GACGAACGCUGGCGGCGUGCUUAACACAUGCAAGUCGAACGGAAAGGCCCUGCUUUUGUGGGGUGCUCGAGUGGCGAACGGGUGAGUAACACGUGAGUAACCUGCCCUUGACUUUGGGAUAACUUCAGGAAACUGGGGCUAAUACCGGAUAGGAGCUCCUGCUGCAUGGUGGGGGUUGGAAAGUUUCGGCGGUUGGGGAUGGACUCGCGGCUUAUCAGCUUGUUGGUGGGGGAGUUGCUUACCAAGGCUUUGACGGGUCGCCGGCCUGAGAGGGUGAACGGCCACAUUGGGACUGAGAUACGGACCAGACUGCUACGGGAGGCAGCAGUGGGGAAUAUUGCACAAUGGGCGGAAGCCUGAUGCAGCAACGCCGCGUGCGGGAUGACGGCCUUCGGGUUGUAAACCGCUUUCGCCUGUGACGAAGCGUGAGUGACGGUAAUGGGUAAAGAAGCACCGGCUAACUACGUG